rnacentral:rRNA from 1 species
AUACGGAGGAUGCAAGCGUUAUCCGGAUUUAUUGGGUUUAAAGGGUGCGUAGGCGGAUGAUUAAGCGUGAGGUGAAAUGCCACUGCUCAACAGUGGAACUGCCUCGCGAACUGGUUGUCUUGAAUGCUCCUGCCGUGGGAGGAAUGUGUGGUGUAGCGGUGAAAUGCAUAGAGAUCACACAGAACACCGAUUGCGAAGGCAUCUCACGAAGGGGUUAUUGACGCUGAGGCACGAAAGCGUGGGGAUCAAACAGGAUUAGAUACCCUGGUAGUCCACGCAGUAAACGAUGAUAACUAACCGCUGGGUCGUAGUGAUUCAGUGGCCAAGCGAAAGCGAUAAGUUAUCCACCUGGGGAGUACGACCGCAAGGUUGAAACUCAAAGGAAUUGGCGGGG